rnacentral:rRNA from 1 species
CAGCAGCCGCGGGAAUACAGAGGGUGCGAGCGUUGUUCGGAAUUACUGGGCGUAAAGCGCGCGUAGGCGGUUACUCAAGUCAGAGGUGAAAGCCCGGGGCUCAACCCCGGAACUGCCUUUGAAACUAGGUGACUAGAAUCUUGGAGAGGUCAGUGGAAUUCCGAGUGUAGAGGUGAAAUUCGUAGAUAUUCGGAAGAACACCAGUGGCGAAGGCGACUGACUGGACAAGUAUUGACGCUGAGGUGCGAAAGCGUGGGGAGCAAACAGGAUUAGAUACCCCCGUAGUCCCUGUCUCUUAUAC